rnacentral:rRNA from 1 species
GAUGAACGCUAGCUACAGGCUUAACACAUGCAAGUCGAGGGGCAGCGCAGUGUAGCAAUACAUGGGCGGCGACCGGCGCACGGGUGCGUAACGCGUAUCCAACCUUCCCGUUACUCAGGGAUAGCCUUCCGAAAGGGAGAUUAAUACCUGAUGGUGUUCAAAUUCCGCAUGUUAUUUGAACUAAAGAUUUAUCGGUAACGGAUGGGGAUGCGUGACAUUAGAUAGUAGGCGGGGUAACGGCCCACCUAGUCUACGAUGUCUAGGGGUUCUGAGAGGAAGGUCCCCCCACACUGGAACUGAGACACGGUCCAGACUCCUACGGGAGGCAGCAGUGAGGAAUAUUGGUCAAUGGUCGGAAGACUGAACCAGCCAAGUAGCGUGAAGGAUGAAGGUUCUAUGGAUUGUAAACUUCUUUUAUACGGGAAUAAAACCUCCCACGUGUGGGAGCUUGUAUGUACCGUAUGAAUAAGCAUCGGCUAACUCCGUGCCAGCAGCCGCGGU